AUGCACGCUGGCGGCGUGCCUCAUACAUGCAAGUCGCGCGAACAGACGAGGAGCUUGCUCCUCUGACGUUAGCGGCGGACGGGUGAGUAACACGUGGAUAACCUACCUAUAAGACUGGGAUAACUUCGGGAAACCGGAGCUAAUACCGGAUAAUAUAUUGAACCGCAUGGUUCAAUAGUGAAAGACGGUUUUGCUGUCACUUAUAGAUGGAUCCGCGCCGCAUUAGCUAGUUGGUAAGGUAACGGCUUACCAAGGCAACGAUGCGUAGCCGACCUGAGAGGGUGAUCGGCCACACUGGAACUGAGACACGGUCAAGACUCCUACGGGAGGCAGCAGUAGGGAAUCUUCCGCAAUGGGCGAAAGCCUGACGGAGCAACGCCGCGUGAGUGAUGAAGGUCUUCGGAUCGUAAAACUCUGUUAUUAGGGAAGAACAAAUGUGUAAGUAACUAUGCACGUCUUGACGGUACCUAAUCAGAAAGCCACGGCUAACUACGUG
rnacentral:rRNA from 1 species